rnacentral:lncRNA from 1 species
ACAAAGAGAGGAUGGAGCCCAGCUUGCAUCAUCCCCUUUGCCAUUCAAACGGGAAGGGAAACAAUUUUAAUCAGGAACCAGGUGCCACAAAUAGUCAAAGGCAAAAGCUUCACUUGUAACUCAGGCACUCAGAUAAGUCAGGCAGAGUGUAUCUUUCCCCGCAAACAAAAGAUGAUUACCCCAGGAUGCCCCUCAACGUUGCCCGCAAGAAGAUGGCAGCGGCCGUUUGCUCUGGGGAUCCCUGCAGGCUGCAUCCUUCUGCGCACCCUGCCCUGUGCCCCUUCAUCCCUGUUCAGCCUUUCUCUGCAAUGAUGUGCCCCCUGAGGCUUCAGAUGGGCCAAUAUCUAGAGGUGGGAAACUGGCCGCCAUAACCUGCACUCCCCACUGUGGUGAGGACAACCCCUCCACCGGGCCCCUUUACUUGGCAAGGCAUUUACAGGUUGUAAGGAAACUACAAGAGAUAGCGCAACAUCUCAGAACUGUCAGCACCUGGGUGAGCAUCUCCAGUCUGAACACGCGAGGGGAAGAAGCAGCUACUGGAGUCUGAAGGGAGAUGACUAUGUGAAGAGGACCACUUGACAGGAGAUGCAAAGCUUCAGUGGAUGGGCACAGUGAGCCCGAGGGUGACUCCACUGGGGUCACCAAGGAAUGAAGUGUGAGAAUGAAUACGCUGACCUCACUCUCCUCCUUUUUCCUCAUCUCCUGUUGGUGCUCCUCAUUGGCCCAACCCAAUGGGAAGCCAGCGGUAAACCUAGACCAAUGAUGUAGUCCUUAUAGGUUAGCCUCCUAAGGCUUAGGGCGGGGUGGAGAGGAUGGGAAGUAAAUCUAGAGGGGCAAAUGAGAGCUAUCCAGCAUGGGUAGGCCUGAAUUGAAGUACAUGUCUAUCGAUUGACUGUUGACCUUAGGCGGGUUACUUAAUUCUCUUAGCCCUGCCUCUGAGGAGACAGUCACUUACGUAUCAUUUCUGCUCCACAGCCCCAAUAUCCAUUCCAGCUCUAAGAAAAGGAGAUUGCUAGUGUUGUGAUUUUUCAUAAACAAGACUUUAAAUGGCAUUCACAUUUAUACUAUUUACCAAAAUGUUUUAAGUCAAUAAUGUACACCUAUAUUACAUUUUAAUGCUUAUUUUAUAUUUGUUACUGUGACUACAAAACUUUUAGCAGCUUUAUUGAGAUACAAUUGACAUGUAAUAAACUACGCAUACUUAAAGUACACAAUGUGUUAAGAUUUGACAUAGGUAGAUACCACAUCAAGAUAAUAAACAUGUUCCAUCAUCCCUAAAAUUUUCUCAUGCAUCAUUAUAAUCCCUCCCUCCCCCAUUCCCCAUGUACCCUUCACCAUCCAUCCAUAAGCUUUCUAUCACUAUAUAUUAGGUUGUAUUUAUUAGAUUUUUAUAUACACAGAGUCAUAUGUACUCUUUUUAAACCUGGUUUCCUUUACACAGCAUAAUUACUUUGUGAUUUAUCCAUGUUGUAGCAUGUAUUGAUAUUUUAUUCCUUAUAAUGCUAGGUAGUAUUCCAUUCUGUGAAUAUACCAGUUUAUCUAUUUGUUUAUAUGUCCAGAUGUUGACAGAUAUUUGAGGUUUCUUCCAGUUUUUUACUCUUAUGAAUAAAGUUACUCUGAAUAUUCAUAGGGAGAUAUAUGUUUUCAUAUAUCUUGGGUGAGCAGAAUGGCUG